AGAGUUUGAUCAUGGCUCAGGAUGAACGCCGGCGGUGUGCNUAAUACAUGCAAGUCGAACGCGUUGGCCCAACUGAUUGGACGUGCUUGCACGGACUUGACGUUGGUUUACCAGCGAGUGGCGGACGGGUGAGUAACACGUAGGUAACCUGCCCCAAAGCGGGGGAUAACAUUUGGAAACAGAUGCUAAUACCGCAUAACAAUUUGAAUCGCAUGAUUCAAAUUUAAAAGAUGGCUUCGGCUAUCACUUUGGGAUGGACCUGCGGCGCAUUAGCUUGUUGGUAGGGUAACGGCCUACCAAGGCUGUGAUGCGUAGCCGAGUUGAGAGACUGAUCGGCCACAAUGGAACUGAGACACGGUCCAUACUCCUACGGGAGGCAGCAGUAGGGAAUCUUCCACAAUGGGCGCAAGCCUGAUGGAGCAGCACCGCGUGAGUGAAGAAGGGUUUCGGCUCGUAAAGCUCUGUUGUUAGAGAAGAACGUGCGUGAGAGUAACUGUUCACGCAGUGACGGUAUCUAACCAGAAAGUCACGGCUAACUACGCGCCAGCAGCCGCGGUAAUACGUAGGUGGCAAGCGUUAUCCGGAUUUAUUGGGCGUAAAGCGAGCGCAGGCGGUUUGAUAAGUCUGAUGUGAAAGCCUUUGGCUUAACCAAAGAAGUGCAUCGGAAACUGUCAGACUUGAGUGCAGAAGAGGACAGUGGAACUCCAUGUGUAGCGGUGGAAUGCGUAGAUAUAUGGAAGAACACCAGUGGCGAAGGCGGCUGUCUGGUCUGCAACUGACGCUGAGGCUCGAAAGCAUGGGUAGCGAACAGGAUUAGAUACCCUGGUAGUCCAUGCCGUAAACGAUGAGUGCUAGGUGUUGGAGGGUUUCCGCCCUUCAGUGCCGCAGCU
rnacentral:rRNA from 1 species